rnacentral:misc_RNA from 1 species
CAAUGGGUCAACAGAAUUUAAGCACAAUUCUGUCCAUGAAAUAAAACCUAGUCCAUCAUCAAAGCGGGUCAAAUUGGGUCAGGAAAAUACAUUUGCAGUGGAACGACAGGAUGAGGAAUGCAAUUCUCAUGCUUGGACUGCUAAUCAGGUUGAAAAUGCACUAAGGUCAAAGUUUGAGGGUAGUUCAGAAAACCCUGAAGAAAUAGGC